rnacentral:snoRNA from 1 species
UCUUCAGUAAGGGUCAAUUCAGACCUGAAUCUGAAAAUGAUGAGCUCGGGUAAUGAUUUAACGUGAGUUACGACGCACGGAUCGUCGGGACCGCAACUCCCGUACGAGACCCGAUUCUGAA